rnacentral:sRNA from 1 species
UUGCGUUAGGGAUUGGAACGGCAUCCUUUUUAUUUUUUAUCCGGAACGAAGUGGAAGGAAGAAAAAUAAAAAGAUACAGUGUAAAGCCCGUUAAAAC